GACCCUGUGGUCUAGUGGUUAAGAUUUCGCUCUUAUACCCCUUUCCUAAAGGCUAUGGGUAUGCGAAGAUCGUGAGUUCAAGCCUCACCUGGGUCA
rfam:Chaetomium globosum CBS 148.51 scaffold_7 genomic scaffold, whole genome shotgun sequence.